GCUGGUAACCGAAGAGAAUGGAUAUAUAAUAUUAACUGGAUAGGGAACGGCCGCCCAAACAAAAUGGCGGCGCCGUUCAUUAUAUAUAUCCACGCUGUAGCUAAACAGACGAGUCUACUUAAGCUACUCUGCUAACUUGUUGAACUUCUGAAACCUCAAGCUAACUAGCAGCUAGCAGCUAGUAGCUAGCAGCUAGUAGCCGAGGUUCGCUCCAGCCACUGAGGACUAGCUGUGGGCUUGACGUCACUAAGGGCCACGUGAUGACACCUGAUCCACACCGGCGUUCACCGCUGAAGACUGAGAUGCAUCUGAAAGGCCCCAGGCAGAAAAAAAAGAAAGCUAGUGAGAGGAGACCACGUCCCCCAUGGUGACAGACAGGAGACAGAGCCGAGCAGAACCUGCAGGAAUCCGAGCUGCUCACGGGUCGUUUGUAUACUCCAGGUGACAGCUUUCUGGGAUGUACUUCCAGUCCAAAGAAAAU